UACGUAGGGGGCAAGCGUUGUCCGGAAUCAUUGGGCGUAAAGCGCGUGUAGGCGGCCCGGUAAGUCCGCUGUGAAAGUCGGGGGCUCAACCCUCGAAUGCCGGUGGAUACUGUCGGGCUAGAGUGCGGGAGAAGCGAGUGGAAUUCCUGGUGUAGCGGUGAAAUGCGCAGAUAUCAGGAGGAACACCAAUUGCGAAGGCAGCUCGCUGGAACGUAACUGACGCUGAGACGCGAAAGCGUGGGGAGCAAACAGG
rnacentral:rRNA from 1 species